UACGGAGGGUGCAAGCGUUGUUCGGAAUUACUGGGCGUAAAGCGCGUGUAGGCGGCCCGAUAAGUCAGAUGUGAAAGCCCUCGGCUUAACCGGGGAAGUGCAUCUGAUACUGUCGGGCUUGAGUCCUGGAGAGGGUUGUGGAAUUCCCGGUGUAGAGGUGAAAUUCGUAGAUAUCGGGAGGAACACCAGUGGCGAAGGCGACAACCUGGACAGAGACUGACGCUGAGACGCGAAAGCGUGGGGAGCAAACAGG
rnacentral:rRNA from 1 species